rnacentral:lncRNA from 1 species
UAAGAACUGGAGAAAUUUCAGGAUAUGGAACCUCAUGAUACACUCGUGUUUUUGCUUGCUGGCUUUUAAUCACCCAAGAACUUAGCCUCCAAGUGUGAGGUAUGGUACCCCCUAGAAGCUGGCCUCUAGUUGCCAUGGUGACAGUCCCCCUGCUCAUUUGGAACACUGGGAAAUACCCCAAUCAUACAUGUGACUGUGUCCUCUGAUGUAAUGACAUCUUAGCAACAGUGACAGUGUCCAUUUGUGGCCAAUCACCCUAGAUGUGGUGGUUGGGAAAUUACAAGAAGCUUUGGCUAUUGGAUAAUACCUUGCAACUAGAUCAAGCUACAGGGAAGCCCAAGUGAGAUGGAACAGGAAACCCUUCCUUGGGAUGCAAAAGGAAAUUCUACGGUGUCGAAUUAUAUUUAAUACAAGGGAUUUAAAGCAUAAUUGGACUCAUGCAGAACACUUUCUACCUGUUGUAUUCCCAGGGUAUCCCAAGCUCAACAAAUCCCAAUACCAACAUCAUCUACAAAGAACACCAUAUCCUCUCCUGUAGCUUCAAAACCUGACUCUUUUAUCUUCAGUCAGUUCCAGAACUACAACUCUUAACCCUUCCUGAACACUUGUACAAAAGGGUGACACAACUGGAAUUACUCACACUGGCGCUCCCUUCCCAGCCAAAAGUGGUUAUGCUCUGUUCUCUGGGAGAAGUGGCAAAUGGAGCUGGGACAAUUAGAGUACUUAUCUGCACUUGUCAAUCAAAGACAUCUGCCUUCCUAUGAUGCAUCUGCUGCAACAAAGACUUGAACGUAGGAGACAAAAGGAGGUGGAAAACAGGAAAAUGCCCUCUUUCCACUGUGGACCUCACUUGGAGCAGCUGGGACAGUCUUUUCUGUACUCAGCUUUACGGUGCUCAAGCAGAAUCUUUCCACUCUCCAACCUUCCUGGUCUUGGACAUGCCUUCCCCAUCAGAGAAAUUGAGAGAGAAAAGCUGGUCACAUGUGAAUUAGGACAGAAAUUGUCUGGAGCCUGAGUGGUAAGCUUUCUCCCACACACUGCUCUGUUCUGUGCCUGGAGAGCCCCUUUCCUGAAGUCUGUCGCCUCCUUGAGUGCUGCACUCCCACAGCUAUCAGCAGAACAGCUAUUUUUACAUCAACACUUACACAGAAGUCACCUUCUCCAGGCGGCCCUCCUUUGGGAUCAAGGCAUUUUUCUUUGUUAUCCUUUCAAAACAAGGAUAAUUUCAUGGUUUUUGCACUCUGACCCUUGCAUAAUCCGAGGACUUUCUUUAAUGAAAAAAAAAAAAAAAAAAACUACAUUACUGAGAAAAAAAUGUGGCUGCUUCAAAACAAAUUACUGGCCAGCGUGGGCUCACUAGGCUAAUCCUCCGCCUUGCGGCACUGGCACACCGGGUUCUAGUCCUGGUCAGGGCGCCGGAUUCUGUCCCGGUUGCCCCUCUUCCAGGCCAGCUCUCUGCUGUG